UCUACGGACGCUCGCAGUCAACACAGCCACAUCUUCACGUUGCCAGGUCAACACUAGAAACAGAGAAUCCUUCCAUUUCUUAUAGUCUGGGAGAAGGGAAGGAGAGAAGUAUUUUGAGCACAGACAGAGGCUCCUCCUUAGAAGCUGCUGGGGUACCUGCUUCCAAGCUGAACCCCUGAAGGAAGUGUCGUUGGGCACUGAGAUGCAUGCCCCAAAGCUGCACGUUUCUUUCCCAGAAUAAAAGGUACAAGGAGGAAAGGGGGACUGGCCAGUCAUUGUGGAUAAGUACAGCUAAUUCUGAACGGCAUCCCCUGGGGGAGGCUUGCACUGCUGGGAUAUUUUAAUUUGCAUUAGCGUACACUAACUAGCAUCUACAACCAUAAUCUUAGGAGCUGCUUAGGAGGGGCUGCUGUGCAACUUGUACGCCAGAUGGUUACAUGUUCUAGACUAUCUUUUCGAAUUUCUUUACGUUUGAGAAUCUCUCACACACACACAAUGAAAUAGCAUAUCUCACCUCACUUGUCAAAACAAACAACAGAGUGGGAGAGAGAACCAAGAUCAGGGUCAAACAUAGUGAGCUAAAACCAAGGAAAUCAACAAAAACCCCACACAAGACAAUAAUACAAAGUAUCAAUGAAAAGAUAAAUAAGACUGGCAAAUUCUAAGCCAAAUUAACCCAGAGAAAGAGGAGACCCAGAUCACUGAAACUCGAACUGGAAAGGGAGCUGUUGCAGGAAACCCAGAUCAGGUCAACUCAGACAAGACCCUGUAAGCCACGGAGCAGCAUCGGCAUGGCGGGUGAGGAGAGCCUGGUCCAGGAGGGCGGCAGGACUGAAGAGGAGAGAGGGUCAGAAGCCAGAGAAAGUGCAUGGCAUGGGAAGAGUCAUUGGACACAGGACUGACUAGAUCCAGACUUCCUCAACAUUCCUGCUGCCGACCCCUUUUGACCCAAGCAGCUUGUACAGCCUCAGGCUAUAUAGGUAACUGGAACCAGUGGGUUUUUGCAAAAAGAAUUCUUAAGUUGGGUAGGUUGGGAAUUGAGAGUGGAGACGGUGGGUAUGGAAAGACUUGGGACAGAAGGGGCAAAUUGGAUCAAAAUACAUGCAUGAAUUUUUCAAAGAAUUAACAAGAUACCAGGGUUGUGGAAACCAUAAUUCAGAAUAUAUUGUGUGGUGAAGUUUAUUUUCAAUAAAAGGAAAAAAAUAAAAAAAUUAACAAAAUAGCAUUUUAAAUUAAUAAAAUAAAUAUAAAAAUGAA